rnacentral:lncRNA from 1 species
AAAUCCUCAGAUUCGAAUUAUAAUGUGAUAAUUCAGAAAUUGAGCCAUCACAUUAUCAUAUAUCAGCUGUUAUCACAGUCAUACAUCGUGAAAAAGAAGAUUACAACACAUUUACUUUACAACUCUUAGUCAACAAGCCUAUUACAUCGUUUUUCUAGCGGGAACACACACGGAUCUUUAUCAGAGUCGAUGUAGAGCGUCAGCGGUGAAGGCUCCUCCUUCACGGGCAAUCAUCAGAGUCGGCGUAGUUUAUCAGCGGGCGUAGCUUUCAUCUCCGAACCAAACUUGAGCGCAGGAACGAGACCACCUAAUCCUUCUAUUCUCCAUAGUUAUCAUCAUAGACCGCGUUCAAAACCUGCUAAACAACUUUCAGUACGAUUUGUACUGGCCACUGGCUCCCACCCUAUGCUUUUGCGUAAGCUUUGUGGUAAGUGGAAGGCAAAGGGUAGAUCAAGAGGCCUAUAUAUAUGGCUGUAGUUUUUCCUAUGCAAGUUCAUCAAUAUUUAAUAAUAAUUCAUCAAGUUUUAUUCCAUCUCAUCCACACAUCCAUCCAUCCAUCCAUCCCAUCACACACAUCUCACCACACUCUCACUCUCUAGGCGGCAAGUACGACUCCCGCUCGUGCCUUGCCUCAACGGCCAACGCCGGAUCCAACACAAACCCAGAGGAAGGUAGAAAGGACUCCUCUCACUAGUCAAGUGAAGCUGUACUUAGGAAAGGUCCAUAGCCGACGAGUCGGCAUAUGUAUCGAUCGAUCAACCAAAACUCUGCAGAGGUUUGCACUAACCACAAGAUCACCAUCAUCGACGAAGGCCCUCGUCUAGGCUGAUUCCGGGCUGCCUUCCAACUAAACACGAUGCCACCCUAUCACUCAGAACUGGGACCAUACCGGAGUACCACCGGUACGCUGAGACUGUGAGGCGUAGUACCGGGCCCCAAAGGUCACUACGCUGUCUUAGGAGGGUGUGGGUCCUCAUGCCCGUACCUCCCUACACUAUCCGCUAACAACCUAGUAGUAGUGGCACCGCCCUAGCUGGUCGUACAUCCGUCUCCUUCCCAUAAGAGCGAGUGGGGUGCAAGGCUUCCUAAGACCCGGUCCACAGAACAUAUCAGUCCUUAGGGUGACCGAACAGGACAUCUUCACGAGGGGCCAACCGAUGCCCGGCUCGACGGGACAUCCGAUUACCCCGUGCUAAACAGCACCUCCCAUCCCGGUGCUUUGUCCCACGAAGACACUCCACUCCGGGACCUCUCCCUGUCACAUGUACCCGCCAUAGGUAUCUCUCGUGGAGAACGCCCAGGUAGCGUUCCCCGGCAAGACUUGUCCCAAGACUCGUCGUAGAUCCUGCUCGGUCGACUCGACCCUCACCACACACCCAAGACACACGCCAAGAUCUCCCCAAAUCCAUUACCAUCUCAUUAUCCAGUUAUCGGCACCACGUGCCUUAUCCACUCACAUCCAAUCUCCCACAUUGCAUCACAUCACAGAUAUAAUGCGUAGUAGAAGCAGUAGCAAGUAGUAUGCAGCUUCUAACCUAACAGCGGGUGUGCGAGGGUUAUAGGUUACAACAAGGCAAUGGCUCACAAGCAUUUCUACCAUGCAACCUAUCUCAGUUCAUUUGCAUAAAAGUAAAGCACUAGCAUCUACAUUAUUGCAUGUCUAAUAGGGUUCUACGAGGUUGGGUGGGACGUGGCACCUGUUGAAUGUCAUUUCCAAGAUCCUCAUUUCACUUGUAGUUGUACUCCUCCAAGU